CAACUGGGGAAUUUAGAAAGUCUGCAACAACUGAAUAUAAGCUACAAUAACUUCAAUAAUUUACUCCCACUUGAACUGGGGAAGUUGGUGAGUCUGCGACUACUAAACUAGUGGAUGAAAAAUUCACAGAAAGACAAAUAGCAUUAGUGGCCAC